rnacentral:rRNA from 1 species
CAACUGCGUAAGCAUUUGUCUAAAAUACUUCCAUUAAUCAUUAAAGGGAGGUAAGGGAGUGAAGACGAUCAGAUACCGUCGUCAAAUUAUCUAUGAACUAUGCCGACUAGGCUUUGGAUGAAAGAUUUUAAAAUAAGAGUUUUCUCUUCGGAGUUUACUCUUAGUCUGCUUCCUUCAGUGCCUUAUGAGAAAUCAAAGUCUUUGGGUUCUGGGGCGAGUAUUCGCGCAAGCGAGAAAGUUAAAAGAAUUGACGGAAGGGCA